CCGCGCCAGUCGCCGCGUGAUUACGCCUACUGGUCUACGCCCCCUCUGUACAAUGUCGGUGCAGACUCUGAGACGCCGGACAUAUUGCCGUUUAGUGCGCCGUGCCCGUCGUCGACUGCAAUGCCGCCAGCGCCGCGCCCGUCGUCGACUGCAAUGCCGCCGGCGCCGCGCCCGUCGUCGACUGCAAUGCCGCCGGCGCCGCGCCCGUCGUCGACUGCAAUGCCGCCGGCGCCGCGCCCGUCGUCGACUGCAAUGCCGCCGGCGCCGCGCCAUGCACCGCCUGCAAUACCGCCGGCGCCGCGCCCUGCACCUGCACCGCCUUUGCGCCGCAGGCAGAGGCAGCAAAACGAGCCGGUGACAGUGCUGGAGGCGAGGAGGACGCUAAUGCUAAACUCGGACAGAAGCGCGGACGGCUGGAAUCGGUUGCUGCCUAUUCUAGACAGGCUAGCAACCUCCUAUGCCGAGACAGCCAAGGAGCAGGCUCGUAUGACUGCAGCCGUCUGCGACAUACGGGACAUCCUAAGGGAUAGAUUGCCUCCUCCUCGUCCUAAGUGAGGCUUCAGAUGUGCGGCCUUAACCAGGUGACGAGGGCCCACCGUUGAUGAAUUGAGCGCAGGCUCUUACAAAUCCAUACGAUGAAUAUUGUUGACGGCCAUCAACGUCAACCGUCUAUGGCUUAAGAAAGAUAGAUUGUCACAUGACUGUGGCUUCACCCCUCGCGGUCGAGGCGUAGGUUGUGGUGAUGGUGCGGAGUUGGUGUAGAGCGCAGGCCUUUACAAACCCAUACGAUGAAUACAAAUCCCUCCUCCACUUUGUUCAUCAUGAAUUUUAUAUUACACGAAGACAGAAUAUAGGGCGCCCUCAAAUUAGUCGCUAUUUAGACUGCAGCGCUGCAGCCGCGCUGCUGUCUAAAUUCCAUAUAAAUUGUAACGCGCGGCUGCGGCGCUGCAGUCGCACAUCUUUAUAUGCAUCUCUAUAUAUACAAAAUUUAUAUGGAUUUUGACAGCAGCGCGGCUGCAGCAGCCCUGCUUCCGCGCGACAAUUAGCGACUAAUUUGAAGGCGCCCAUAGUGAUUUGUGACCCUGACUACUAUGUCCCGGGUUCGAUUCCCAGUCGGGGCUGAUUAAAGACAGAUUUUUGUAUUGGGGUUCAACUACUAGUUUGGAUGGACGUCUGUGAGAUGUCCCCACAUAUUAUUAUUAAAACAUGUGAGUUACAGUUA